rnacentral:rRNA from 1 species
GAUGAACGCUGGCGGCGUGCCUAACACAUGCAAGUCGAACGAAUUGCUUUAAAGGAAGUUUUCGGAUGGAAUUUAAAGUAGUUAGUGGCGGACGGGUGAGUAACGCGUGGGAAACCUGCCCUAUACAGGGGGAUAGCCUCGGGAAACUGGGAUUAAUACCCCAUAAAACUCUAGUAUCGCAUGAUACAUGAGCCAAAGAUUUAUCGGUAUAGGAUGGUCCCGCGUCUGAUUAGCUAGUUGGUGAGGUAACGGCUCACCAAGGCGACGAUCAGUAGCCGGCCUGAGAGGGUGAACGGCCACACUGGAACUGAGACACGGUCCAGACUCCUACGGGAGGCAGCAGUGGGGAAUAUUGCACAAUGGGGGAAACCCUGAUGCAGCGACGCCGCGUGAGCGAAGAAGGCCUUCGGUCGUAAGACUCUGUCCUAAGGAAGAAACGGACGGUACCUUAGGAGGAAGCCCGGCCUAACUACGUGCCAGCAGCCGCGGUAACGUAUCACGUGUA